rnacentral:rRNA from 1 species
CCUACGGGUGGCAGCAGUGGGGAAUAUUGGACAAUGGGCGAAAGCCUGAUCCAGCCAUGCCGCGUGUGUGAAGAAGGCCUUCGGGUUGUAAAGCACUUUCAGUGGGGAAGAAAGCCUUGGGGCUAAUACCCUCGAGGAAGGACAUCACCCACAGAAGAAGCACCGGCUAACUCCGUGCCAGCAGCCGCGGUAAUACGGAGGGUGCGAGCGUUAAUCGGAAUUACUGGGCGUAAAGCGCGCGUAGGCGGUCUGAUAAGCCGGUUGUGAAAGCCCCGGGCUCAACCUGGGAACGGCAUCCGGAACUGUCAGGCUAGAGUGCAGGAGAGGAAGGUAGAAUUCCCGGUGUAGCAGUGAAAUGCGUAGAGAUCGGGAGGAAUACCAGUGGCGAAGGUGGCCUUCUGGACUGACACUGACGCUGAGGUGCGAAAGUGUGGGUAGCAAACAGGAUUAGAUACCCCGGUAGUC